rnacentral:rRNA from 1 species
AGGAUGAACGCUAGCGGCAGGCUUAACACAUGCAAGUCGAGGGGUAGAAGGAGCUUGCUCCUUUGAGACCGGCGCACGGGUGCGUUAACGCGUAUGCAAUCUACCUUUUGCAGAGGGAUAGCCCAGAGAAAUUUGGAUUAAUACCUCAUAGUAUAGUACUUUGGCAUCAAGGAACUAUUAAAGUCACAACGGCAAAAGAUGAGCAUGCGUCCCAUUAGCUAGUUGGUAAGGUAACGGCUUACCAAGGCUACGAUGGGUAGGGGUCCUGAGAGGGAGAUCCCCCACACUGGUACUGAGACACGGACCAGACUCCUACGGGAGGCAGCAGUGAGGAAUAUUGGACAAUGGGCGCAAGCCUGAUCCAGCCAUGCCGCGUGCAGGAAGAAGGUCCUAUGGAUUGUAAACUGCUUUUAUACAGGAAGAAACACUCCGACGUGUCGGAGCUUGACGGUACUGUAAGAAUAAGGAUCGGCUAACUCCGUG